ACAACAAUCGUCCGGACCGUCCGUCUACCGAGCAAUUCCAUCCGCUCGGUGGAAGAUCUUCCCUUUGUCGU
rnacentral:pre_miRNA from 1 species